UACGGAGGGUGCAAGCGUUAAUCGGAAUUACUGGGCGUAAAGCGCGCGUAGGUGGCUUGAUAAGCCGGUUGUGAAAGCCCCGGGCUCAACCUGGGAACGGCAUCCGGAACUGUCAGGCUAGAGUGCAGGAGAGGAAGGUAGAAUUCCCGGUGUAGCGGUGAAAUGCGUAGAGAUCGGGAGGAAUACCAGUGGCGAAGGCAACCUUCUGGACUGACACUGACACUGAGGUGCAAAAGCAUGAAUAGCAAACAGG
rnacentral:misc_RNA from 1 species